GAACUGAUGCUGUGAUUCCCACAGGAGAAUGUCAAGUGUUGCUGACAGGCAGCUGCUCAGGGACUUUGUGGCAUAUUUGUCCUUAUGAGUUAACAUUUGACAAAGCAGACACGGACAGUAGAUUAGCACAAUGGAUUGAUUUUAUCUACUUGGAAAACAUGUUGUUUGUUGGAAAACAAGUGUUCAGAUCUGUUUAGGAAUAGCUGCUUCCCAAAGCUGUGUCAGUAAGGCCUCUUCAUCAUACCUAAAACUAAUUUAGAAAUUUAUAGGAAACACUCUGUAUCGAAGAAUAGUGAGUGAAAAUUUUGACCUAGUCAGCAAACUCAUGAAUACAUCUAGGUUAAUUGUGGGCCUCUCAUAGUUUUCUACCUUUAUCUUUUUCUGCCUUUAUCUUCAUAUCUUGUCUUUUUAUCUCUUCAAGUUGAUCUUUAGAAGAAGAAAAAGUAAUUACAUGGUGUUACAUCUGGUAAAAUAUUAGUGCAUAUUUUUCCAAGAGUAGGACAAUUCUUCACAAUUAUUCAUAUAUUGCUUUUAGAUUUGGAGUGCUGAGUGGAGCACGAAUGGGAUGCCAAAUAUGCUGCUGCAGCACGUCAUUAGUUAAGUGCCUGCUUUAUUCUGCAUGGGAGGGUGUUCUGUGGCUGCAUUCCAGAACAGUAACCUGUUCCCAUUCAUCUGAUGGAAUGCCUCCCAUUGAGGACACCAACAAUGGUGAAAAAAUGGCACGUGGAAUAGCUAAUAAAAAUAUUCUCAUGCACACCACAUAAACCCUUGAAGAAUGUACAAGCCAAGAUAGACCCUGCCGUGGUCACCUGUGUCGGUGAUUCCAGCGCGUGUUUACUCGGGACGCGGCUCGCGGGCUCCCUCAAUCCUGCUCUGGGUGGGUGGUUUGGGUUGUCCGCCCAUGUGCAAUUAACAUAUCAGACUUUUGAAGUCUUGCUCAAUGGAAGGUUUGAGAAUCAAGUGAUGUGUUUGUUAAGGCAUCAAACUGGGCCAAAACAGUAUUUGCCUGAAGGAAGGUGAGUUUCUCAUUUUCCACACCUUAAGAGAGAUCAAAGGAGCCUUUCUUUAACACUGCAGGUGUCAAGGUAGGACAGAUCCCUGCUGAAGGUUUCAGGUGUUAUUUCAGAAAGUAAAAAAUAAACCCAACACCUCUCUGCAAAGCUGAGCUUUACAUUUUUCUUUGUAUCUUCUGAUAUCUCUAAGAUACAAUACAAGGCUAUGAUCCUGUUAUCCUUCAAGGAACUUGUGGAUCCUUUGAGUUACUUAGUGCCAUACCAUUGAUGGUUCUGAAUGGAUUCUUCACAGUGAGAACCAUAAAAGACAGAGGUUACUCCUUUUCAGUGUCGUUGAAGUUCCCACUGAGGACCUGUGGCUGAUACAAGAAGCAUCUGGAAACUCUCCAGUUUCUCCACUGAAGGGACUGUAGGAGCCAACACUACUAAAAUCAAUGGGGGAAUGGCCCCAUCUGCUGGUACAGGCAAGUGGAUUCUGUCCACAGAGGAAAACACAUCCUCUUUGGAUGUGUCUCUGGAUUAAUCCCCUGACAAGCUGGGAUGAUCACUACAUUUGUUUGCUUUUCUGAUUGCUGGACCAAGGCAGAGCAGCACUGCAGUUCAGGUCCUGCUCUGUGGUCAGCUGGUCUUUCCAGUUCUCUGCCAACCCAGGCAAGUCACCAUCACCACUGUGUGCCCAUGAGCAUCAGCAAAAGAAGCAAAACCAUUUGUGAUUUAAAACUGACACAGAGGAACAAUGUUUAGAUAAUAAUUAACUAACAAGAAAUAGAGUGGCAAAGACCACAGACUGAACAGAAAUGCUUCCAAAUGAAUCGGUGAUUCCUUAUUUCUUGUUCUCCUAUAAAGUCUGAGCUGCCCAGGUACAAACAACACAUGGGGAAAUCCAUGUAACAGAUCUGAGACUUCUUGAUUUGGAAAUUGGGAUUUUCACACAUUAGGACCCACACAGCCUACUAAUGAGUUGGUAAAUACUUUUCUCAUGCUAGCACAGCUAUGCAAUACUGGGCAGGAUUUUCUCUCCUCAGUAACAUCAGGGAUCUUACUGCUCAUAGAACUGGGAAGGUGUUUUUCUGCCAAGGCAGAACUUGCCAAAUUCCGGUCUGAGCACCCUUUUUUUUUAAUUUUAGUUCAUGAUUCUUACAUACAAAGCUUAUAUUAUUUAUACUAUCUGUUCAAGCAAUAAAAUUGUGUUUCAAA